rnacentral:rRNA from 1 species
AACGAACGCUGGCGGCAGGCUUAACACAUGCAAGUCGAACGCUCGUAGCAAUACGGGAGUGGCGGACGGGUGAGUAACGCGUGGGAACGUGCCCUGAGGUACGGAAUAACUGCGGGAAACUGCAGCUAAUACCGUAUGAGCCCCGUGAGGGGGAAAGAUUUAUCGCCUUAGGAGCGGCCCGCGUCGGAUUAGCUAGUUGGUGGGGUAACGGCUUUCCAAGGCUUCGAUCCGUAGCUGGUCUGAGAGGACGAUCAGCCACACUGGGACUGAGACACGGCCCAGACUCCUACGGGAGGCAGCAGUGGGGAAUCUUGCGCAAUGGGGGCAACCCUGACGCAGCCAUGCCGCGUGAAUGAUGAAGGCCUUAGGGUUGUAAAGUUCUUUUGCCCGUGACGAUGAUGACGGUAACGGGAGAAUAAGCUCCGGCUAACUUCGUGCCAGCAGCCGCG